CUCCUCCACCCGCAGCGAGGGAAGGCUCCUUGCCACAGCUCCCCGGCUGCCACAGCAGGAGCGCCCAGCGCCCCAGCCCGGGCCACCGCGCGCCCGAGGGAGUUCUGCAGGAGGCGGGCACCUCCGAAGGUCGACGGCUCCUUCCGGCUCGCUGAUUGGCUCGCUUCCUCUGCGCAGCCGCCCGCCCCGCCCCUUCAAGCCUCCCUCCCCCGCGGGCUGCCUCGCUUUCCUCGCUCUCGCCCUUUCCCUCUGCGCGCCUCCGCUCGCUUUCCUCCCAUCCAAGAUGGCGGAGAGCCUGCCGGAGCAUGAGCGGAUCCUGCAGGAGAUUGAGAGCACCGAGACGGCCUGUGUGGGACCCACCUUGAGGUCUGUAUAUGAUGAUCAACCAAAUGCACACCAAAAGUUUAUGGAAAAGCUAGAUGCAUGUAUACGCAACCAUGACAAGGAGAUUGAAAAGAUGUGCAAUUUUCACCACCAAGGCUUUGUGGAUGCUAUUACAGAACUUCUUAAAGUAAGGGCUGAUGCAGAAAAACUCAAGGUCCAAGUUACUGAUACCAACCGAAGGCUUCAAGAUGCUGGGAGAGAGGUGAUUGCUGAGACAGAAGAAAUCAUCCACUGUAGACUUCAGCAGAGGAAUAUUACAACAGUGGUUGAGAAGCUGCAGUUGUGUCUUCCGGUACUGGAGAUGUACAGCAAACUAAAAGAGCAGAUGAAUGUAAAAAGAUAUUAUUCUGCUUUAAAGACUAUGGAACAGCUAGAACACAUCUACUUUCCUAGAGUUAGUCAGUAUCGGUUUUGUCAGAUAAUGAUUGAAAACCUUCCAAAACUUCGUGAGGAAAUUAAAGAGAUUUCCAUGUCGGAUCUGAAGGACUUCCUAGAGAGUAUUCGGAAGCAUUCAGAUAAAAUUGGUGAAACAGCGAUGAAACAGGCACAGCAGCAGAAAACCUUUAAUACUGGUCUCCAGAAGCAAAACAAUCUCCGUUAUGGGAAGAGUCCAUAUAUAAACAAUGAUGGCAUUCCAGAGCCAAGGAAUAAAAUUGUUUCAAAACAAAACCUUGAAGAGGAAGAGGAAGAACAUGAAGAUGAGGUUUUGACAGCUCACGAUCUGGUAGAUUUUUCUCCUGUUUAUCGAUGCUUGCAUAUUUACUCAGUUCUGGGCGAUGCAGAGACAUUUGAAAAUUACUAUAGAAAACAAAGAAGGAAACAAGCAAGACUAGUGUUGCAGCCACAGUCCAACAUGCAUGAAACGGUGGAAGGUUACAGAAGAUACUUCAGUCAGAUUGUAGGUUUUUUUGUAGUAGAAGAUCACAUUUUACACGUAACCCAAGGAUUGAUAACGAGAGCUUACACUGAUGAACUUUGGAACAUGGCGCUUUCAAAGAUUAUUGCAGUCCUUAGAACUCAUUCGUCCUAUUGCACGGAUCCUGAUCUUGUUUUGGAGCUGAAGAAUCUGAUUGUUGUGUUUGCUGACACCUUGCAGGGCUACGGGUUUCCUGUGAAUAGGCUCUUUGAUCUUUUAUUUGAAAUAAGGGACCAGUACAAUGAAACGCUGCUUAAAAAAUGGGCUGUGUUGUUCAGGGAUAUUUUUGAAGCAGAUAAUUGCAGCCCAAUACCCGUCUCAAAUGAAGAGGAGUACAAAAUUGUCAUUAGCAAAUUUCCCUUUCAAGAUCCGGAACUUGAUAAGCAGGGUUUUCCAAAGAAACUUCCAAUGUCUCAGUCAGUGCCUCAGAUUUAUAUCCAGGUCAAAGAAUUCAUUUAUGCAAGCCUUAAGUUUUCAGAGUCACUUCAUCGCAGUUCAACAGAGAUAGAUGAUAUGCUUAGAAAAUCUACAAAUUUGCUGCUGACUCGAACUUUAAGCAGUUGUUUACAGAACCUCAUAAAAAAGCCUCACAUAGGUUUGACGGAGCUGGUGCAAAUUAUCAUAAACACAACACAUUUGGAACAAGCAUGUAAAUACCUUGAGGACUUUAUAACCAACAUUACAAAUAUUUCACAAGAAACUCUCCAUACUGCAAGACUCUAUGGUCUAUCAACGUUUAAGGAUGCGAGACAUGCUGCUGAAGGAGAAAUUUAUACCAAACUUAACCAAAAGAUUGAUGAAUUCAUCCAGCUUGCUGACUAUGAUUGGACAAUGAGUGAGCCAGAUGGGAGAGCCAGUGGCUAUUUAAUGGAUCUUAUUAAUUUCUUGAGGAGCACCUUUCAGGUUUUCACUCACUUGCCUGGAAAAGUGGCCCAGACUGCUUGUAUGUCAGCUUGCCAGCAUCUGUCAACUUCCCUGAUGCAGAUGCUGUUGGAUAAUGAUUUAAAACAAAUUAGCAUGGGAGCCAUUCAGCAGUUUAAUUUAGAUGUCAUACAGUGUGAAUUGUUCGCCAGCUCUGAGCCUGUACCUGGGUUCCACGGAGAAACCUUACAGUUAGCAUUCAUCGACCUCAGACAACUUCUGGAUCUCUUCAUGGUGUGGGAUUGGUCGACUUACCUAGCCGACUACGGGCAGCCCAGCUCCAAGUACCUGCGCGUCAAUCCAACCAUCGCCUUGGCCCUCUUGGAGAAGUGAGUCACACACAGCCCUCCUCCUCUAGCCAUCUCUGCAGGCGCUACAGUAUUAGGAGACCAAUGCCUUGCAGGAGAGCGAAUGCUAGGGCAACCCCCCCCCCCCAGGACACGCAUAGGGAAAGGUUAGGUUGUACAGUAACCCAAAUGCGUGCGCUUAGGUGCCGCCUGUCCCGUUGCAAACGGGGACGUGCUUCUUUUAGUUUUAACAGCUCCAUCCGGAUCUCUCGUGAUUAGGACUGGACACUAUCUGCAUCUUCCCGCUUAGGAAAUUUGCCCAUCCUAAAUUUCCUUGGACGGACGAGUCCCCUUUCAUUGGCGUCCCCAAAAGAAGCCCACGCAAGAUGGCGAAGUGUGGGUGGGGUGGAUCUCGGAGCAAUUGGUAAACGUCCUAAUUUUCAAGACCUUUUGGUUUUAAAUUAUUCCAAAAAUAUGUAACUAUUUUUUUUGAGAUAGAGAAACAGACAGACACACACACACACACACACACACAGAGAGAGAGAGAGAGAGAGAGAGAGAGAGAGAGAGAGAGAGAGAGAGAGAGAGAGAGAGAGAGAGAGAGAGAGACCUGCAGCAAAAACGCCAACACAAAUGUGACUAAACUGGAGUAUUAAAAAUGAUUAUUUUCAGUAUGGGGUCUUUGCUUGCGUUGCGCUAUGCAAAAUUCCCAUCACCACCACCCCCUUCAAUGAGUCCACGUGCUUUGAUUUAACCGGAUAAUAGAUCAGGUUGCUACAAAAAAGUUGAUCCACUUGAUCCAGUGGCCCUAUGCCCCCAAUGCAGGCAGGCCUUGGUUGAGGAUCUAACCUUGAUCGAGAGAGGGAGGGAGAGAUAUGGAUGCCUCCACAGUCUAGCUGUUCCACGGAUCACGGCAGCUGCCUUGAUAAAGGGAAAGAGAAAGGGGAAGAAGGUGCAGUCCUGGGCAGGCUUCACCUGGGACUACGUCCCUCUGAGCUGAGUGGUACUUAACGUCUAAGCAAACCUCUUUAGGUUGAAGCAGCGAGGCUCUCUGGAAGCUUCAGCCUCGCCGCAAAUGCGGAAUAGCAAAGAGCGUUUAGGAGUCAAGGAACACCGCUUGCAACUACACCCUGAAAUGUAAAGGCGUUAUAAAUAUUUAGCUAUGCCUUAAACUACCCCCUUCCUUUCUAACUGUUGAUUCGUUUUCUUUCUUCCCCCCUCGCAACGCCCCAACGUUUUGCAGAGUCCACAGAGGAAUGAAGGACGUGAAGAAGAACAACAUCUUCGCCCAGUUCAGGAAGAACGACCGCGACAAGCAGAAGCUCAUCGAGACGGUGGUGAGGCAGCUGCGAGGCUUGGUGAACGGGAUGUCCCAGCACUCCUGAACGCCGGUCGUUUCUGGAGACCGGCGGGGCAGGCCGAAAACUAAGCCUGAGUCUCCCCGGUUAGGGUACUUGCUCCAUGGACAACUGGAAAAGAUGCUGUGAAAGGGACCGGCCAAAGGAAACAGCCGGAGAGAACCUGAGCAUCUGCAUUGCUGUCAAUUAAUGCUAUUUUAAUAACAACAACUUGUAAAAACAAAAACAACCCCCCCACACACACAUACAUUAGUAGGGGUGGAAUGGGGCUCUAUAUUUACCAAGGCAAAAUGCCAAAUUGUACAUGCAACAGUGGGGUUGUAAAUAACUUUCUUUGCGGUCUGCGGGCAAUGCCUCAAGAUUCCCCCCUCCCCGUUUCCAAAUGAUUUGGUGGGGGUGAGAUUGCCACGCAAUCCGCCACUGCUGCUCCCUACACUAACCCCGAGGUCAUGUUUCCCAAAACAAGGAACUUUUUCUUUUUCAAUAGUUGCCUGUCUCUUUAAAUAUAAAUAUAAAUAUAUAUAUUUACACGCA